rnacentral:rRNA from 1 species
AUGGCUUUCCCUCCAGAGUGGAUCCUGAGUACGGCGGAACACGUGAAAUUCCGUCGGAAUCCGGGAGGACCAUCUCCCAAGGCUAAAUACUCCCUAGUGACCGAUAGUGAACCAGUACCGUGAGGGAAAGGUGAAAAGCACCCCGGAAGGGGAGUGAAACAGUUCCUGAAACCGUGUGCCUACAAGUAGUUAGAGCCCGUUAAUGGGUGAUAGCGUGCCUUUUGUAGAAUGAACCGGCGAGUUACGAUUUGUUGCAAGGUUAAGCGGAAAAAGCGGAGCCGUAGCGAAAGCGAGUCUGAAUAGGGCGCAUAAGUAACAGGUCGUAGACCCGAAACCAGGUGAUCUACCCAUGUCCAGGAUGAAGGUAAGGUAAUACUUACUGGAGGUCCGAACCCACGCACGUUGAAAAGUGCGGGGAUGAGGUGUGGGUAGCGGAGAAAUUCCAAUCGAACUUGGAGAUAGCUGGUUCUCUCCGAAAUAGCUUUAGGGCUAGCCUCGAGGUAAAGAGUCAUGGAGGUAGAGCACUGUUUGGACUAGGGGCCCUUCUCGGGUUACCGAAUUCAGAUAAACUCCGAAUGCCAUGUACUUAUACUCGGGAGUCAGACUGCGAGUGAUAAGAUCCGUAGUCGAAAGGGAAACAGCCCAGACCACCAGUUAAGGUCCCCAAAUAUAUGUUAAGUGGAAAAGGAUGUGGGGUUGCUUAGACAACCAGGAUGUUGGCUUAGAAGCAGCCACCAUUGAAAGAGUGCGUAAUAGCUCACUGGUCGAGUGACCCCGCGCCGAAAAUGUACCGGGGCUAAACAUAUUACCGAAACUGUGGAUGAACCUCUUUAGAGGUUCGUGGUAGGAGAGCGUUCUAAGGGCGGUGAAGUCAGACCGGAAGGACUGGUGGAGCGCUUAGAAGUGAGAAUGCCGGUAUGAGUAGCGAAAGAAGGGUGAGAAUCCCUUCCACCGAAUAUCUAAGGUUUCCUGAGGAAGGCUCGUCCGCUCAGGGUUAGUCGGGACCUAAGCCGAGGCCGAUAGGCGUAGGCGAUGGACAACAGGUAGAGAUUCCUGUACCAGUGCUAAUUGUUUAACCGAUGGGGUGACACAGAAGGAUAGGGAAUCGCACGAAUGGAAAUGUGCGUCCAAGCAGUGAGUGUGAG